rnacentral:rRNA from 1 species
CACCGCGGUUAAACGAGAGGCUCAAGUUGACAAUCUACGGCACAAAGAGUGGUUAGGGAACUACAACAAAACUAAAGCCAAACUCUUUCAAGGCAGUUAAAUGCACACGAAAGCAGGAAGAUCAAUGACGAAAGUAGCUUUACUAUACCUGAAUCCACGAAAGCUAAGGCA